ACAUGCCUACAACAUAGCGUUAAUGCUCUGGAUCCCAUUAGAACUCUGUAAUUAAGCAAGUUCAAUCUAGAGUAGUAUUGGGAUGGGUGAUCGCCUGAGAAUUCCUAGUGUUUUACAUGCC
rfam:Picea glauca, whole genome shotgun sequence.